CGGCUCUAUCCGCUGUCUCGUCCUGUACGGUCUGCAUCCAGCAUCAAUGCUCCGCCCUUCACAGCCACUGCGCCGUUCCAUUGAUGGGUGGCGGCGGGAGAGCAACAGCAGUCAGAGCUCCAAGGUUUCGAUGACAUCACGACGGUUAAGUUGCCGCUCCCAUGAGGCUUCGGCCUUGUUCUCGACAGCCUCGGCUGCACGUUGUGCGAAUACGGCGCCGCCAGGGCCGGCCGCACUCCCGGACGCGGAGGUGACGUCUGCCGUGUCUCUGCCCUCGUUGCGCUCCUGCACCGCCGAAGCGUACAAGGUAAGUGACUUGCGUAGCGUGCACCGACCGCAGCAGCUGACACCCCCCUUUCUUGCGACUGCGGCUGAUUUCGUUGAUAGUGGUGCUGCUGCUGUGACCGACAAGGUAGAAAGCUAUGCAGAUGGCCGCACCAAGGAACCGUCCUCACCACGGAAAAUUUCAACGCCGCACCACGCAUGUCUGCAAGUUUUUUUCGAUGGCACCAACAGGCAACCGUGCAUGCCCAAGUCUGCUCAGCGACUCUUCACGUCGGCUGAGGUGUCUACGCUGCGUAGCGAGGCCCAGCAAACCUACACGCGUAGGAAGAGAACAGAGGAGCAGAAGGAGCUCAUCGCUGCAGAGGCGGAGGCGCGCUCACUGCUGGCCGAAGCCGCCUUGGACCAAAUCGCAGCGGUGCGGGAGCUUCAGGAGGAGGAGCGUGAAUCGCGAAUGCGGGCGGUGUCGGCAGCAGCGCUUCCGGUGCAGUAUCUUGAGCAGCGAAUUCGCCGCCGUAUUGACGAGGAGUACGCGCAGCAAGAUGCGCAGCUUCGCCAGGAGGGCCGCGAUGCGUGGCGGCUGCGAGUGGAGCUUGAAACAGCGGCUUCGGUGGACGCCAGCACGCGUGAGGUGGAGCGUCGAGCUGCUACUCAUCGAUUUCGCGCGGCGCUCACCUUCAUCAUAGUGCAGGAGAUGGAGCUGCGAAAGCUUGUCGAGGCCGAGUCAGCGAAGUUCUGGGAGACGUUUGUGCAGGAAGAGGCAGAGGGCAAGGCCGAUGCUGAGAACCGCGCACUGGUACGAUUCCUCAACACCCCUGAGCAGCUUGCCCUCGCGGCGGCGCGCGAGAAGCGAGAGAGGAGACGGGCGCUUCGCACAGCGAAGCUACUGAGGCUCUUUCAAGAGCAGCAAGAAGGUUUUGUGAAAGGGUGCCGGCAUGGAACAGGCGGAGUGUCGCUGUUCGUGGGCGACGCACCCAAGAAGGUCUGCGGGCGUUGCCGUGUCAAGUGGGAUGAAGGCCUUGGCUACUAUGUGUCCAUAGAUCGCACAGUGAAGAUUCACCCACCUCCGCCACCGAUUACCGCGGCAGCAGAAGCAGAUGUCAAGACGGCGUCGCAUGCUGCGAAGCGAGCCUCAGCAGAGGCCGCCAAGAGCGGCUGCCUGUUGCCGCCACUGAAGAAGAUGCUGAAAUAGUCACCCGUUCCUCGGCGCUUACAGGAAGAGGGGUGAUCGCGUCUGCUUGUCUGUGUGUAUGUGUGUGAGCUUCGUUGCGCGCGCCUGUUGUGGUUUUCUCUUCGAGCGUCGACGGCGACAGCGCGCGUGUUGCUCUCUCUCCCGCCGCCGUCUUCUCUUCCCUUGUGGGACUUGUUUUUCUUGUGGCUCCAUCCUCUCGCCCCACUUCUUUGCGAUUUCGUUGACUCUCUUCCCUCUGCAGCGUUGUCGCACUCUCUCCCCUUUCGCUAACAUGUACAUCUCACCACUUCUCAGUCGUUGCACGUUUAUGCGCGCGUGACUGGACGUAUUCUCUCGUUCUCCUGUUCUUAUGGAGCCCGACGCGCCCUCGUCAUCAGCUGCCGCUGGACCCUCCCUAGAACAGCCGGUGGAUAUCCUGCAUCAUACCAGUCGCAUACCACUGCGAAGCAGCAGCUAUCCAUCAUCGAUGCUUGCCAACUGCCGUGCAUGACGAC
rnacentral:misc_RNA from 1 species